GAUGAACGCUGGCGGCGUGCCUAAUACAUGCAAGUCGAGCGAACAGACGAGGAGCUUGCUCCUCUGACGUUAGCGGCGGACGGGUGAGUAACACGUGGAUAACCUACCUAUAAGACUGGGAUAACUUCGGGAAACCGGAGCUAAUACCGGAUAAUAUAUUGAACCGCAUGGUUCAAUAGUGAAAGACGGUUUUGCUGUCACUUAUAGAUGGAUCCGCGCCGCAUUAGCUAGUUGGUAAGGUAACGGCUUACCAAGGCGACGAUGCGUAGCCGACCUGAGAGGGUGAUCGGCCACACUGGAACUGAGACACGGUCCAGACUCCUACGGGAGGCAGCAGUAGGGAAUCUUCCGCAAUGGGCGAAAGCCUGACGGAGCAACGCCGCGUGAGUGAUGAAGGUCUUCGGAUCGUAAAACUCUGUUAUUAGGGAAGAACAAAUGUGUAAGUAACUAUACACGUCUUGACGGUACCUAAUCAGAAAGCCACGGCUAGCUACGUG
rnacentral:rRNA from 1 species